rnacentral:rRNA from 1 species
UAGGGAAUCUUCGGCAAUGGACGAAAGUCUGACCGAGCAACGCCGCGUGAGUGAAGAAGGUUUUCGGAUCGUAAAACUCUGUUGUUAGAGAAGAACAAGGACGUUAGUAACUGAACGUCCCCUGACGGUAUCUAACCAGAAAGCCACGGCUAACUACGUGCCAGCAGCCGCGGUAAUACGUAGGUGGCAAGCGUUGUCCGGAUUUAUUGGGCGUAAAGCGAGCGCAGGCGGUUUCUUAAGUCUGAUGUGAAAGCCCCGGCUCAACCGGGGAGGGUCAUUGGAAACUGGGAGACUUGAGUGCAGAAGAGGAGAGUGGAAUUCCAUGUGUAGCAGUGAAAUGCGUAGAUAUAUGGAGGAACACCAGUGGCGAAGGCGGCUCUCUGGUCUGUAACUGACGCUGAGGCUCGAAAGCGUGGGGAGCAAACAGG